CCCCCUUUUCAAAUCUCUUUUGUUUGCUUUUUGCUAUACACUCAUGGUGACACAUCCCAUCUGGUCCUGUUGUAUUGCAUGAUCCAAGAUAAUACAUAGUGCUGUUAGCAGUCAAGAUGGGACACAUCAUAGCUUGUUCCCAGUCUGUGUUGCCAAGGACCUUAAUCUGCUUCAGAGUUACAAACAAUUUUUAAUUUCUUUUGAAGACAUAGAGUGGUAAACAUCCCUGGGAACUCUACAUUUCCAUGGUCUGGCUGAUUCUGCACCCAGACCAGCUUGUUUAAAGCUUCCUCAGGGAUCUUUGCUCCAGAGAUACCCUGACUGGGCUGAAGGGCAGAUCCUGCUCGUGGGCAGUGAGAGAAAGGUGGGUCGAUCAUCUGGAUCCAGAGCCAAACCACCGUGAAGGCUCAUACUUAUUUAUCUCUCCAUGGAAGAAUUAGCAAGAUGAACAUUUUCUUUCUCCUUGCUUUUGGAGAUGUUCAGCUUUGCUAACUUUUGCAGCUGCUCGAGGAGGCACUUACACCUCAUGUAAGCCAUGGUCUUGCAGCUCUUUGUCAAGCGUUUGCACUAACUAACCAUCACCACAGUGUAUCCUCUGCAGCAGCAGUCA
rnacentral:lncRNA from 1 species